rnacentral:rRNA from 1 species
CAGCAGCCGCGGUAAUACGAAGGGGGCUAGCGUUGCUCGGAAUGACUGGGCGUAAAGGGCGCGUAGGCGGAUGACACAGUCAGACGUGAAAUUCCCGGGCUUAACCUGGGGGCUGCAUUUGAUACGUGUUGUCUAGAGUGAGGAAGAGGGUUGUGGAAUUCCCAGUGUAGAGGUGAAAUUCGUAGAUAUUGGGAAGAACACCGGUGGCGAAGGCGGCAACCUGGUCCUUUACUGACGCUGAGGCGCGAAAGCGUGGGGAGCAAACAGGAUUAGAUACCCCCGUAGUCCCUGUCUCUUAUAC